rnacentral:rRNA from 1 species
AGGAUACGGUUAACGGAGCGAAAGCGACGUUCAACCUCAAAAGAAGCAGAGGGGGCUUAGUGGUGGGGUGACUGCGUACCUUUUGUAUAAUGGGUCAGCGACUUAUAUUCUGUAGCAAGGUUAACCGAAUAGGGGAGCCGGAGGGAAACCGAGUCUUAAUUGGGCGUUAAGUUGCAGGGUAUAGACCCGAAACCCGGCGAUCUAGCCAUGGGCAGGUUGAAGGUUGGGUAACACUAACUGGAGGACCGAACCGAC